rnacentral:rRNA from 1 species
GACGUAGGGCGCGAGCGUUGUCCGGAUUUAAGUUGGGCGUAAAGAGCUCGUAGGCGGCUCAUUGACGUCAACCGUCGAAAACCAGCAGCUCAACUGUUGGCUUGCGGUUGAUACGGGUGGGCUGGAGUUCGGUAGGGGAGACUGGAAUUCCUGGAUGUAGCGGUGAAAUGCGCAGAUAUCAGGAGGAACACCGAUGGCGAAGGCAGGUCUAUGGGCAUUAAACUGACGCUGAGGAGCGGAAAGCAUGGGGAGCGAACAGG